rnacentral:rRNA from 1 species
UGAGGAAUUUUGCGCAAUGGGGGAAACCCUGACGCAGCGACGCCGCGUGGAGGAUGAAGGCCUUCGGGUCGUAAACUCCUGUCAGAGGUGAAGAAUACCCGCAAGGGUUCGACGGUAACCUCAGAGGAAGCCCCGGCUAACUACGUGCCAGCAGCCGCGGUAAUACGUAGGGGGCAAACGUUACUCGGAAUUACUGGGCGUAAAGGGUGCGUAGGCGGCUGGGAAAGUCAAGGAUGAAAUCCCGUGGCUCAACUGCGGAACGGUCCUUGAAACGACUCGGCUUGAGGAUAACCGAAGAGAACGGAAUUCCCGGUGGAGCGGUGAAAUGCGUAGAUAUCGGGAGGAACACCUGAGGCGAAAGCGGUUCUCUAGACUACUCCUGACGCUGAGGCACGAAAGCUAGGGGAGCAAACGG